rnacentral:lncRNA from 1 species
CAAACUUGAAAUUCCAGUUGUUCCAGUUGUUCCAGUUGUUCCAGUUGUUUAUGUAUUCAGACUUUAAUUCAUACUGAUUGUCCUUGAAUUGAAACUGAGACUUAGAAUGAAUUGAAACUGAGACUUUGAUUCAUACUUGUUUUACUUGUUCUACUGGAAGUUGUUGGUUAUGGAUUGAGAAUUUCUUCAAUGUUAGUGUUUUGUUACAGUCAACGGGCUUUGCCCGUUUACCCGUAGACCCGCCGGUUCCGGGUUUUGAUAUUUAAUUUUACCCGUUCUGAUAAUCCGGGCAUGAAUUCCAAUACCCGGAUAGGUUACGGGCCGGGUUUCGGGGGAUAUAUAUCCGGACCCGAUGUACCCGAAUGCCAUCCCUAGUAGUUACAGAACCAGUGUUGCCUGUUCUUCACUCGAAAGUCCACAGAUUCUACUCUCCAGCCACAAUUAAGCUCUGCUCUGAACCCGAAAAUGG